CUUCCCACUGUAUAUUUGCAAACUGUUAAUACAAUUGUGCAAAAAAAGUUCCGACUCCUUUGCCAUCUAAAUUCUUCUUCCUUACAGACGGAGCAGAAAAAUAAAUUCAAGUACACUGAAUACACCUUUGAAAUAAAAUUCCAAGUGACACAUCUGGAUGAUUACCAUUUCUGUCUUUUGCACCAACAAUUUUCUUUCACUGUCCAUAGCAUGCGGGUAUUAAGCACCUUCUGUGACACUGAACAAAUCCGGAAUGUCAUGACAGGAAUGUCAUCUGAAGCAGGAUGACCUUUAGAGAAACACCGGCAUGCACAAGAACUGAUCUAAACCUUGCAGUCACCUGGAUUUUGCUCAUCUGAAACUGGGCUCAUUUGAAAGUACAGCACGUAGAGAAUAUUUCCUAAGGACAACAUUUAAUAAAGAAUCCAAAGGCUGCAAAAUGACUCUUUAAAGAGAUUCCAUUUUAUUCCUGUUAAAUAUAAAUGUAGUAUAGCCUUCGGCAAGAUGUUAACUUUAUCAUGGAGUUUUGUGCCAGCAACCACAGAAUAACAGCAGCAUCACAAGACUGAUCCAUCGGACACCUUUCAUCAGAUCAAUGAGAAGUUAUUUCAGAGAAGUGGCAUUGUAAUUCUGAAUUCUACCAUGAAAGAACCUAGUUCUCCAAACACAGGCAGGUAACUCCUGAUAGGAAAGGACUCCAAUCAGUGUGAAAUCAGCAAGCCUGCACUUGCUAAUGCAGCCCAAGCAGCACUGGGGUCAACCCAACAGCAAGGGAAAGCCAUUAUAUAUGACACAAUGAAGAGCCUGAGAACAACCACUUUAAAUAAACCAGUGAGUCAUUUAUUUCUCAAGGACUUUCAAAAAAUCAAACUACAACACUGCUCUCUUCUACAACUGAAAAACAGCAGUGCUUUUGUUAUAUAUAACAUAUGUACACAAAUGAUCCAAAACCCUGAGCUGCACUGGUACCGGUGCAUUUCCUGACAAAAUUUAAAACCCUAGGUCCAGACUAGGGUUUUCACUAUAUUUUCACUACUCCACAAAUUAAUGCCAUUGAUGCCACCCUAAACAUCUUUUCUUAUUUCUUCAAACUAAAUACAAAACAACUGCAGAAGGGAAAUCAGAAAGGACUUAUUUUAGGAACAAGACCUUAUAAUAACUGGAAAGGAUGACAGAGAUAUCUGAAGUGACAGUACACUUCAUCUGUACUAUGUACACAUUGCUUGGAUCUAAGAAAGAAGAAAGUAGUCAUGCUUUGAAGGUUUAGGAUUUUCACCAAAUCCCGUCUGGGAUAUAUGGCCUGCACAUUCAAAAGGUGGCUGGAUACCUCUGUUGGGUCAAACCCCUCCAAAGCACUUGCUUUACAGUUGACAUAAACAAGGACUCUUUCCCAAACUGGAGCCUUUAUUCGCAGAAUACUGUCCUUAAGUACUUCAGCA